rnacentral:rRNA from 1 species
ACACAUGCAAGUGAACGGUAACAGAUCUCGCUUGCGAGAUGCUGACGAGUGGCGCACGGGUGAGUAACGCGUAUGCAAUCUACCUUUAACUGAGGAAUAGCCCAGAGAAAUUUGGAUUAAUACCUCAUAGUAUUAUUUAUAGGCAUCUAUAUUAUAAUUAAAACUUCGGUGGUUAAAGAUGAGCAUGCGUCCUAUUAGCUUGUUGGUAAGGUAAAAGCUUACCAAGGCUACGAUAGGUAGGGGGCCUGAGAGGGUGACCCCCCACACUGGUACUGAGACACGGACCAGACUCCUACGGGAGGCAGCAGUGAGGAAUAUUGCGCAAUGGAGGAAACUCUGACGCAGCCAUGCCGCGUGCAGGAUGAAUGCCCUAUGGGUUGUAAACUGCUUUUCUGCAAGAAGAAACCUUAGUACGUGUACUAAGUUGACGGUACUGCAGGAAAAGCACCGGCU